rnacentral:rRNA from 1 species
CAGUCGCCGCGGUAAUACGUAGGGUGCAAGCGUUAAUCGGAAUUACUGGGCGUAAAGCGUGCGCAGGCGGUUUGUUAAGACAGAUGUGAAAUCCCCGGGCUUAACCUGGGAACUGCAUUUGUGACUGGCAAGCUAGAGUCUGGCAGAGGGGGGUGGAAUUCCGCGUGUAGCAGUGAAAUGCGUAGAUAUGCGGAGGAACACCGAUGGCGAAGGCAGCCCCCUGGGCCAACACUGACGCUCAUGCACGAAAGCGUGGGGAGCAAACAGGAUUAGAUACCCCCGUAGUCCCUGUCUCUUAUAC